CGUGGGGGGGGGGGGGUAUACAUGCAAGUCGAGCGAAUGAUGAGGAGCUUGCUCCUCUGAUUUAGCGGCGGACGGGUGAGUAACACGUGGGUAAUCUGCCUGUAAGACGGGGAUAACUCCGGGAAACCGGGGCUAAUACCGGAUAAUAAGAGAAGAAGCAUUUCUUCUUUUUGAAAGUCGGUUUCGGCUGACACUUACAGAUGAGCCCGCGGCGCAUUAGCUAGUUGGUGAGGUAACGGCUCACCAAGGCGACGAUGCGUAGCCGACCUGAGAGGGUGAUCGGCCACACUGGGACUGAGACACGGCCCAGACUCCUACGGGAGGCAGCAGUAGGGAAUCUUCGGCAAUGGGCGAAAGCCUGACCGAGCAACGCCGCGUGAGCGAUGAAGGCCUUCGGGUCGUAAAGCUCUGUUGUUAGAGAAGAACAAGUACGAGAGUAACUGCUCGUACCUUGACGGUACCUAACCAGAAAGCCACGGCUAACUACGUGCCAGCAGCCGCGGUAAUACGUAGGUGGCAAGCGUUAUCCGGAAUUAUUGGGCGUAAAGCGCGCGCAGGCGGUCUCUUAAGUCUGAUGUGAAAGCCCACGGCUCAACCGUGGAGGGUCAUUGGAAACUGGGAGACUUGAGUGCAGGAGAGAAAAGUGGAAUUCCACGUGUAGCGGUGAAAUGCGUAGAGAUGUGGAGGAACACCAGUGGCGAAGGCGGCUUUUUGGCCUGUAACUGACGCUGAGGCGCGAAAGCGUGGGGAGCAAACAGGAUUAGAUACCCUGGUAGUCCACGCCGUAAACGAUGAGUGCUAGGUGUUGGGGGGUUCCACCCUCAGUGCUGAAGUUAACACAUUAAGCACUCCGCCUGGGGAGUACGACCGCAAGGUUGAACUCAAGGAAUUGACGGGGGCCCGCACAAGCAGUGGAGCAUGUGGUUUAAUUCGAAGCAACGCGAGACUUUACCAGUCUUGACAUCCUUUGACACUCUAGAGAUAGAGCUUUCCCCUUUCGGGGACAAAGUGACAGUUGUGCAUGAUGUCGUCAGCUCUGUCGUUGAGAUGGUGGCUAGGUCCCGCAACCGAGCCGCAACCUUGAACCUUAGUUUGUCCAAGCACAUUCCAGAUUUG
rnacentral:rRNA from 1 species